rnacentral:rRNA from 1 species
AACGAACGCUGGCGGCGUGCUUAACACAUGCAAGUCGAACGGGUUUAAUGGAUGUAGCAAUACAUUCAUUAAAUUAGUGGCGCACGGGUGAGUAACACGUAGGUAACCUACCCUUCAGUGGGGGACAACAGAGGGAAACUUCUGCUAAUACCGCAUACGAUCACGGACUGGGAUGUUCGUGGUGAAAGGGUUUAUUCGCUGAGGGAUGGGCCUGCGGCCUAUCAGGUAGUUGGUGAGGUAAUGGCUCACCAAGCCUGCGACGGGUAGCCGGACUGAGAGGUCGAUCGGCCACACUGGAACUGAGACACGGUCCAGACUCCUACGGGAGGCAGCAGUGGGGAAUAUUGCACAAUGGGGGAAACCCUGAUGCAGCGACGCCGCGUGGAGGAUGACGGCCUCGGGUUGUAAACUCCUUUGUCUAGGACAAUGGUGAUGGUACUGACGAAUAAGCCACGGCUAACUCUGUG